UCCCUGGAGGACUAGUGGUUAGGCCUCGUCGCUCUAACUGCCGUGUCCCGGGUUCGAUUCCCAGCCAGGGAA
rnacentral:tRNA from 1 species